rnacentral:rRNA from 1 species
UACAGAGGGUGCAAGCGUUAAUCGGAAUUACUGGGCGUAAAGCGUGCGUAGACGGUUAUUUAAGUCAGGUGUGAAAGCCCCGGGCUCAACCUGGGAAUGGCAAUGGAUACUGGCAGGCUAGAGUGCGGUAGAGGGUAGUGGAAUUCCCGGUGUAGCGGUGAAAUGCGUAGAGAUCGGGAGGAACACCAGUGGCGAAGGCGGCUACCUGGACCAGCACUGACACUGGAGGGCACGAAAGCGUGGGGAGCAAACAGG